CACGUAGGGUGCGAGCGUUGUCCGGAAUUAUUGGGCGUAAAGAGCUCGUAGGCGGUGUGUCGCGUCGGCCGUGAAAACCUGCAGCUUAACUGUGGGCUUGCGGUCGAUACGGGCAUCACUGGAGUUCGGCAGGGGAGACUGGAAUUCCUGGUGUAGCGGUGAAAUGCGCAGAUAUCAGGAGGAACACCGGUGGCGAAGGCGGCUCUCUAGUACGGUACUGACGCUGAGACGCGAAAGCGUGGGGAGCGAACAGG
rnacentral:rRNA from 1 species